rnacentral:lncRNA from 1 species
UCUUGAACUAAACCACCUCUCCUCAGACCUCUCCCCGCUACUCCAUUGUUUUCGCCAUCAUUCCAGCUUCUUCCCUUAUUUUCUUUCGGCAAAAAAAGAUCUAGAGAAACUCAGAGCCCGUGUCAGUUAAGUACAAAGCAGGAGAGAUCGACAAUGAUUCUUGUGCUCCACCCAAACAUCUUCAAAGGAGGCAAGCUUAAAUCUCCAUCACAUAGAUCUGAGUUUGAGACCAAGUUGCAAGAUCGCUGGGUUUCAGUCUAGAUAUUGUUUGUGCCCAAGAUGACAUGU